rnacentral:tRNA from 1 species
GCAGGUUCAUGUCUCGCUGCGCGGUGUUCGGGUUGACUUUGACAGCGAGUGAGCGUUGCCCUCCGAAGGCAAAGGUCACACGUUCGAAUCGUGACGGGUGCGCCA